GGUCUCGCGGUCCAGCCUGGAGUGGACGCUGCCCUGUCACGGCGGAGAGCGGGUCCGAGUCCCGUCGGCAGCGCCG
rnacentral:tRNA from 1 species